rnacentral:rRNA from 1 species
UUGAACGCUGGCGGCAGGCCUAACACAUGCAAGUCGAGCGGUUGAGAGUAGCUUGCUACUUGAUGCAGCGGCGGACGGGUGAGUAACGCGUGGGAAUCUGCCCAGUAGUGGGGGACAACAGCCGGAAACGGCUGCUAAUACCGCAUACGCCCUACGGGGGAAAGGGGGGGAUCUUCGGACCUCUCGCUAUUGGAUGAGCCCGCGUCGGAUUAGCUAGUUGGUAGGGUAAAGGCCUACCAAGGCUACGAUCCGUAACUGGUCUGAGAGGAUGAUCAGUCACACUGGAACUGAGACACGGUCCAGACUCCUACGGGAGGCAGCAGUGGGGAAUAUUGGACAAUGGGGGAAACCCUGAUCCAGCCAUGCCGCGUGUGUGAAGAAGGCCUUAGGGUUGUAAAGCACUUUCAGUGGGGAGAAAGGUUUGUCACCUAAUACGUGAUGAAAUUGAUGUUACCCACAGAAGAAGCACCGGCUAACUCCGUGCCAGCAGCCGCCGUAAGAC